rnacentral:rRNA from 1 species
UAGGGAAUCUUCCGCAAUGGGCGAAAGCCUGACGGAGCAACGCCGCGUGAGUGGUGAAGGUCUUCGGAUCGUAAAACUCUGUUAUUAGGGAAGAACAAAUGUGUAAGUAACUAUGCACAUCUUGACGGUACCUAAUCAGAAAGCCACGGCUAACUACGUGCCAGCAGCCGCGGUAAUACGUAGGUGGCAAGCGUUAUCCGGAAUUAUUGGGCGUAAAGCGCGCGUAGGCGGUUUUUUAAGUCUGAUGUGAAAGCCCACGGCUCAACCGUGGAGGGUCAUUGGAAACUGGAAAACUUGAGUGCAGAAGAGGAAAGGGGAAUUCCAUGUGUAGCGGUGAAAUGCGCAGAGAUAUGGAGGAACACCAGUGGCGAAGGCGACUUUCUGGUCUGUAACUGACGCUGAUGUGCGAAAGCGUGGGGAUCAAACAGG